GACGAACGCUGGCGGCGUGCUUAACACAUGCAAGUCGAACGGAAAGGCCUUUUCGGAGGUACUCGAGUGGCGAACGGGUGAGUAACACGUGGGUGAUCUGCCCUGCACUCUGGGAUAAGCCUGGGAAACUGGGUCUAAUACCGGAUAGGACCGCACUUUAGUGUGUGUGGUGGAAAGUUUUUUCGGUGUAGGAUGAGCCCGCGGCCUAUCAGCUUGUUGGUGGGGUAAUGGCCUACCAAGGCGGCGACGGGUAGCCGGACUGAGAGGUUGGUCGGCCACAUUGGGACUGGGAUACGGCCCAGACUCCUACGGGAGGCAGCAGUGGGGAAUAUUGCACAAUGGGCGCAAGCCUGAUGCAGCGACGCCGCGUGGGGGAUGACGGCCUUCGGGUUGUAAACUCCUUUCGCCAGGGACGAAGCGUUUUGUGACGGUACCUGGAGAAGAAGCACCGGCUAACUACGUG
rnacentral:rRNA from 1 species